UCUUCAGGAGGAGAUCCCAAGCCUUCUGGCGGUCUACGCAAGUAAGCUCUCAUCAAAAGCUUUAAGGAAAGCUCUUUGUUUUUUGAAAUGAUGCUUUUAUGAGAUAGAGCUUUUUUAGAUAAUGCUUUUUUAGAUAAUGCUGGGGAAGGUUUUCCGGUUUAUCUCGGAGGGCUUGUAGCUCAGUUGGUUAGAGCGCGCGCUUGAUAAGCGUGAGGUCGGAGGUUCAAGUCCUCCCAGGCCCACCAAUUUACCUAUCCAUUUGCCUUUAUCCGUUUAUUUGCCGAUUUAUCGGUCUAUUGAAUUUAAGUGUUGGUAGCAGUUUUUAUAAUGAUGAGAAAUCAUGCUUAUAAAAGAACUCCUUAUAAAAGGCUUGUUUUUAAAAUGUGACGCUUAUCCAUUUCGCUUAGGCAAGAGAAACUUCAAGCGGUUCAAAUGCAAAAGGCUUUAAAUUUUGCAAAACAAUUUGAAUUUUAAAGUGAUCCAAGUUCGUGAUCUCGAAUUUAAAAGUUUCGAAUGCUUUAUC
rnacentral:misc_RNA from 1 species